CUGGGAGUCGCGAGUGGUCUUCGUGUCUGUGUGAGCUGCAGAGGUCGCUGCGUUGGGACCUCUUCCAACGAUGCCCCUGAAGAGGUUUAGAACCUUGACUUCAGGAGGGAGCUAGAGGAGAAAGAGAGAGCUGCUGCAAGAGAAAAAAAUAGAGAUCGUCCAACUCGAGAGCAUACAACCUCCUCUUCAGUGUCCAAGAAGCCUCGAUUAGACCAGAUCCCGGCCGCCAACCUCGAUGCGGAUGACCCUCUAACAGACGUGUGUUUCGUUUCCUCCAUUCAUCUUCUUCUUUUUUUUUUACCAUUUUAAUUUUAUUUAUCAUGCUUCCUGAAAUACUUUUAUUCUUUUGGCUUUAAGAAGUGAUGUGUGUGUAUUUUUACUUACUGCUAUUCACAUGUGGUCCUGUCUUCAAUGCUAAACUUUAUAGCUGAUUUUAAAACAAAAAGUAUUAUUGUGUGGUUGAUCCAACUUCAGUAACAAGUUUGAUCUCUGGAGAGCCAAAUAGGAAAGUAAGCUCUUAAAGGGUACAUAUGCUUUCCUAAAAAAUAAUUCCCCGUAUUAAGCCCUGGAGAUUGACUACUAUGUUACAUGCCUCCAGGGGGCAUUCUUCAUACUGGGCUUUCUAUCAACAGCAUCCCUUAGAGUUGAAUCCAGGGGUCUUUGCACAUUAGAUACCAAAGGUGUCCCUUCCAGAUGUGCAGGCUGCUUAAUGGCUCCCUCUGUGCUUAGGGAAGGAAGUGAUCUUUGUGGAAGGGUUUUUAGGAUUAGUGUUUCAAUUAACAUUAAAAUUUCAGUGGGACUCUAUAAUUAAUUUGCAGUUUUCUACAUAUAGUGGAAAAAUCUGAAUGGCGUUUCAUGCGAAACAUCUAAGUACAUAUAUCAAAAUUAAUUCUAAGGUUGACAGAUUGAAUUAAAUACUUAACACUGUAAUUAAAGGGAACCCAAUUUUAAGUGAAAUUUAAUUAGAUUGUUCAUUUGAAAUUAUUAUGAGAAUUUAGCACCCUUUUUUGUACUUUCAUUAUCCUUACUUCCUACUUAAAGUAGUUUUGAGCUACAUAAAAUGAUUUAAUCCUCAGGGUUAUACACUGUGUAUGUGUACUGUGUGUCAGUGUGAAGUUUUCCUUUUCUGAUUCUAGAAAUACAGUUGACCCUUAAGCAGCACAGGUCUGAACUACAUGGGUCCACUUCAAUGGAGUUUUAUGUUUUUUUGUGGAUUUUUUCAGUAAAUGUAUUGGACAGUUUUUUGGACAUUCGUGACAAUUUGAAAAAACAUUUUCUUUCCUCUAACUUUAUUGUAAGAAUACAGUAUAUAGUACACAUAACAUACAAAGUAUGUGUUAAUCAACUGUUUAUAUUACUUGUAAGGUUUCUCAUCAACAGUAAGCUAUUCGUUUUUGGGGAGUCAAAAGUUACACAGAUUUUUGACCAUGUGAGGGAUUGGCACCUCUAAUGCCCAUGUUGUUCGAAGGUCAACUGUGUUUUCAUAUUUAAGCGCCCUUUUGACCAUGUAAAUUUGAAAGAUAAUUUGUUAUGCUGUUCACCAUUACAAGCUCUCAAACAUAGCAGGGGUGACAUUUUAGCAUGUACUGAAAGGCAUGUUUGUGGGGUUUUCUUUUUUUGUUGGUUGGUGAUUUUAGUCAUAUUUAGGUACGUUUAUCUUCCCCAGUGGGAAAAUUAAUCCUGCUGAAAGAUUUGGCAAGUGCAAUUUUUAUGGAAAAAAGUGAUAGUGUUCAUUUUCACUCUAGUCUUGUUACUUUUAGUACUACUCCAGCCCAAGUUAUGUUUAGAAUUCCCUAUUGAAGCUCCUGAAUAUUACUGUUCUUUACCCUGUCAAUUCCUCACAGAUUUAUUGUCUCUUUGUCUAAAAUGUAAAAAUUGCCUUCUUUGUCAUUUCUUUAUGUUUCAAUUUCAUUAUUGGGCCUCUGUGUGCAUAUAAUUAAACUUCAGUUUUUUUUCUCUUGUUAA